GGAGUGGUGUGUCCAGUGAUGGCAUGCUGAACAUCGAUCCCUGAGUGAAGUUUAGGCCGAUCUGCUCAUGCGUGUUCCAUCACAUGUUCCGGUGUCGCGGUUUUGGAGGACACUCCCGAUGCCGCCCGCGCCGCCCGGUCGCAGUGUCCCGACACAAUCCUGACGACGCGCAAUGGGUUUCUUCCGCACAGAGAGGCACACUGUACCCGUAUGCAUUCGAACGCGCGCGUUGUUCCCACACACAUCCCAAAACCGGCCUUGCUGUUCGCAGGUUGCCAUUUUUUUUU